rnacentral:rRNA from 1 species
UUGAAAGGGAAACGAUUGAAGUCAGUCGUACCUGUGGGUAAUCAGCCUUUUGGGUGUGAUUUUGUGGAGUGUGAGGAGUUAAACGCCUUCAUGCCUGCAUAUUCGUGCACUUUGGGUGUAUUUACCCGUGUGGUAAGUUAACAUCAAUUUCGGUGGUCAUAAAAUGGCUGGAGGAAUGUAGCUUCGAUCUUGUAUUGAAGUGUUAUAGCCUUCGGUAGAUGUGAUGAUCGGGAUUGAGGAUUGCAACGGAUACCCCUCGGGGCUACCUGUCUGGUCUCUGAUCGUUGCUCUGGUGCCGAAAGCUUGCUUACGGUUAUCAAAGUCGAUGGUCAAUAGGUUAGAACGGGUUAAAUUCGUUAAGGAUGUUGACGUA